rnacentral:rRNA from 1 species
AACGAUAGCUAAUACCGCAUAAYAAUGUUGGAUGCAUAUUCGACAUUUGAAAGUACCAACUGGUACACUGAGAGAUGGACCCGCGUUGUAUUAGCUAGUUGGUAGUGUAAUGGACUACCAAGGCGAUGAUACAUAGCCGACCUGAGAGGGUGAUCGGCCACAUUGGGACUGAGACACGGCCCAAACUCCUACGGGAGGCAGCAGUAGGGAAUCUUCGGCAAUGGACGAAAGUCUGACCGAGCAACGCCGCGUGAGUGAAGAAGGUUUUCGGAUCGUAAAACUCUGUUGUUAGAGAAGAAYGUUGCAUAGAGUGGAAAAUUAUGCAAGUGACGGUAUCUAACCAGAAAGGGACGGCUAACUACGUGCCAGCAGCCGCGGUAAUACGUAGGUCCCGAGCGUUGUCCGGAUUUAUUGGGCGUAAAGCGAGCGCAGGUGGUUUAAUAAGUCUGAUGUAAAAGGCAGUGGCUCAACCAUUGUGUGCAUUGGAAACUGUUAGACUUGAGUGCAGUAGAGGAGAGUGGAAUUCCAUGUGUAGCGGUGAAAUGCGUAGAUAUAUGGAGGAACACCGGUGGCGAAAGCGGCUCUCUGGACUGUCACUGACACUGAGGCUCGAAAGCGUGGGUAGCAAACAGGAUUAGAUACCCUGGUAGUCCACGCCGUAAACGAUGAGUGCUAGUUGUUUGGGGCUAUCCAGCCCUAAGUGACGCAGCAAACGCAUUAAGCACUCCGCCUGGGGAGUACGACCGCAAGGUUGAAACUCAAAGGAAUUGACGGGGGCCCGCACAAGCGGUGGAGCAUGUGGUUUAAUUCGAAGCAACGCGAAGAACCUUACCAGGUCUUGACAUACUCGUGCUAUUCCUAGAGAUAGGAAGUUCCUUCGGGACACGGGAUACAGGUGGUGCAUGGUUGUCGUCAG